CUUUGAAGAUAAUCUGUGACUAUUCUUUUAUAAUUGAUAAGCUAAUCUUUACCCCAAAGGAGCAAACUGAAUGAUAACUCCUGCUUUAGAUGUUGGUUCCACAAAUGAUGGAAUCGAAAUAAAAUUUAAUUCUUAAAAAAGAGAUUAUGGAGGAUUGGAGCAUUCUUAUCUCUCUAUUAUUCUUAACCGAACAGAUAGAAGCCGCUUUUUUCUGCUCAAGCACUUUUGAAAAGAAUAGAUGGGAU
rnacentral:lncRNA from 1 species